AUGCGAUUCAAAGAUGUAGAGAAAGAAAGGGAAUUUUAUAACAGAUACGCCAGGCACGCUGGUUUUGGAAUCAGGAAGACGGGUGGAAAUGACAACCACAAGUAUUUUGUUUGCGCCUUCCAAGGGAUACACACAUCUUCUGUUUCAGAGGCCAACAGGAAGCGAAACAAAACAUCGCAGAGGACGGGCUACAAUGCAAGAAUGAGGGUGAAGGUGCAGGAGGAUGACACAUGCGUGGCAGUGGACAUUGAGUACAAUCAUAAUCUCCAGCUCAUGCAAACUGAUGACAUGCUGGUAUUUUUGCACUCACACAAGAAUUAUGACCCCACUAUUCUGGAGUAUGUAAAGCUCCUGCAGUACCAUGAUGUCAAGCACACAACAAUCAUGUCCAUGCUAUCUGAAAAUGAAGAUGGAAGCUACUUCCUAAGCAUGACCGGACGAGACCUACUAAACCAGUAAGUAUUCAAACACCCACAUGCUGCAAUGGAUGAUGUAUUAAAACUUGUUUCAUUCUUCAAAGACAUGAAGGCAAUAAAUGAUGAGUUUUUCUAUGACAUCCAAUCCAAUGCAAGCUGCCGAGGAGCCUAUCAAGACUUCGGCGAUUGCGUAACAUUUGACACGACUUACAAGACCAACAGAUUUCAUAUGCCACUGGGAGUGUUUGUUGGAACAAACCAUCACUUGCAGUCAACGAUAUUUGUUGUUGCCCUGAUAAGAGACGAAGAUGCAAAGUCAUUCAAGUGGUUGUUCGAUACAUUUCGACAGUGCAUGAACAACAAGCACCCAACUUGCAUUCUAACAGACCAGUGCCCAUCGAUGGCGAAAGCUAUACCACAAUCAUUUCCAAACACCGUCCACAAGCUAUGCCUUUGGCACAUAUUGAAGAAGUACAGGGAAUACCUCGCGUUGUUGUACAAAAAGUAUAAAACAUUCAAAGAGGAUUUCACAGCUAUAUUGAACUGGCCGCUGAUGCCAACGGAGUUUGAAGAUGCCUGGGCUGAACUCGUGCACAAGUACUACCUGGAGAACGACCAGAUGAUGAUGCAGCUCUGGAGUGAUAGGAAGAUGUGGAUUUCAGCAUAUUACAAGAACAUUUUGUGUGCUAGAAUGACUUCCACACAACGAAGCGAGAGCAUGAACCACGUGCUAAAGAAAGGGUUUGUCAAGGGGACCCAGAACCUACACAAGUUUGCUAGGCAGGUCAAUGCUUGCAUAAAAACUCGAAUGCAGAAGGAGAACGAGCAAACAAUGACCAGCAUGGUAUGA
rnacentral:rRNA from 1 species